rnacentral:tRNA from 1 species
AGAGAGUUACCCAAGUGGCUAAAGGGGACAGGUUGCUACCUUGUUAGGUCAAUUCGUUGAUGCGAGGGUUCGAAUCCCUCACUCUCUG